GACGAACGCUGGCGGCGUGCUUAACACAUGCAAGUCGAACGGAAAGGCCCUGCUUUUGUGGGGUGCUCGAGUGGUGAACGGGUGAGUAACACGUGAGUAACCUGCCCUUGACUUUGGGAUAACUUCAGGAAACUGGGGCUAAUACCGGAUAGGAGCUCCUGCUGCAUGGUGGGGGUUGGAAAGUUUCGGCGGUUGGGGAUGGACUCGCGGCUUAUCAGCUUGUUGGUGGGGUAGUGGCUUACCAAGGCUUUGACGGGUAGCCGGCCUGAGAGGGUGACCGGCCACAUUGGGACUGAAAUACGGCCCAGACUCCUACGGGAGGCAGCAGUGGGGAAUAUUGCACAAUGGGCGGAAGCCUGAUGCAGCAACGCCGCGUGCGGGAUGACGGCCUUCGGGUUGUAAACCGCUUUCGCCUGUGACGAAGCGUGAGUGACGGUAAUGGGUAAAGAAGCACCGGCUAACUACGUG
rnacentral:rRNA from 1 species